GUGUCCCGUGCUAGUGCCGGAACGCAGCGGUGGCGCCAGGUGCCCGCUGGCGGGCCCUCAGCCGGGGCGCCGCGGGGAGCGGAGCCCGACGGCCAUCUCAAGAGCGCGGCCUCUGGAGGGUCCUUCUACGGCGGCCCGCAGGGGUCAGGCGGCCCGCGGGGGCCUACGGCGGCCUGCGGGGGCCACGGCGGCAGCGGUGGCUGCCUGGGACGGCGGCGCGGGGCGUCUUCUGGCCGGGCUGCAGUCCUGGGACAGUUCCCUUGACUUACACAUGGGCCGACUUCGCCCUCCGGCCUGGGCGAGCAUUGUUUUGAAGCUCUCAAGGAGGAGCUCAGGGCAGGGAAAGGUGACUCGGGUCCAGGGGUCAGGCGGUCACCCCGUCUGCGCCCAGGAUGCGAGGAACCGGCACUGGGAAAGUGGGCCGGUGCCGCCAAGCACAGGUCACUUCUGAGCUCUUACGGUAAUUCUGACUGGAGCAGAUUUUGGUGGGAGGGGGCUAGUGGUGUUACAUUUUGGUGAAUCUAUUACUUGAGACUAGGUCCUUCUUAUACCUUGAAGAAUCAAACCCCAAUCCAGCAUUUUAUGAUUAAUGCCACAGGGAAGCUUCCAUGCAGCCAUACCAGUCACAAUCACGCUGAUGAGUGUUACUCACAGGAACAUUUAACAAUUUAAAUAAAGAUUCAAAAAGUUAUUCUUUUUCUGAAAAUAAUUUAUCCUGGAUUUAGAACCCUACUGAUCUUUCAGGUUAACCUGUUUGAAUUCCACUCUGCCCAAGAACCGUAACCAUAAUUGUAUUUUUUAGAGUCAGGGUCUCACACCAUCACCUGGGCUGAAGUGCAGUGGCAUGAUCAGGGCUCACUGCUGCCUCCACCUCCUGGGCUCAAGUGAUCCACGUGCCUUAGCCUCUCAAGUAGCCGGGACUAUGGGCAUGAGGCACCGUGCCUGGCCAUAAUUGUACUUUAAAAUGUUAGUUCCAUUGGAUUAGAAGUGUUAAAAUCACUGUCGUGCACACUUUUUAAAAAAUUUUUAUGAAUAUGCUGUUAUUCCUCUAUAUUCAACGGAUAUUUUCUACAAAUACUCUUUAAGCAAUAAUUGGCUUUUUCUUUACACUUAAAUGACUCUGUGAUUUGGGUUUUUCUGUACAGGUUUUCUUAGGAUCUGCAAUUCUAAUAUGUGACCAUACAACUGAAAAGUGGAAAAACUCUAUUUCCAGAUUUAUUAUUGUCUUAACACUAAAUUUUAUGGCAUUUCCCAGAUAUCUGGUUGUAUUAGUCUGCUCAGGCUGCCAUAACAAAAUACCACAGGUUGAUGGCUUAAAGAGCAGACAUUAAUUUCUCACAAUUCUGGAGUAUAGGAAGUCCAAGAUCCAGGUGUUGGCAAGGUAGGGAUCUGCCUAACUUGUGGCAGGCAGACAGGUGAGGGCUCUCUGCCGGAUUUGCAGAUGGCUGCCAUCUCACCAUGUCCUCACACAGUGCGGGGAGGGUAUAUAACAUGCUCUCUGGGAUCUCUUGAUGUCUCUUCUUGUAAGGACGCUAAUCCUAUCAGAUUAGAGCCCCACUCUUACUACCUUAUUUAACUUUAAUUACCUCCUAAAAUCUCCAAAUGUAGCCAUACCAGGGGUUAGGGUUUCAACAUUAGCAUUUUGGAGGAACACAAUUCAGUCCGUAGAACUAGUUUUAUAACCUCUUCUCAGACCCUGAUGCCCUUGACUACGCUGUAUGUUUGGUGUUAUUGCCUACCCCCUGCUUUUGGCUCUAAUGUCACUGUUUUGUCCUGCUUCACCCAUUUUUCUGUUUUUGUUUGUUGUUUGUUUUGUUUUGGUUUUUUUGAGGCGGAGUCUUGCUCUGUCACCCAGGCUGGACUGCAGUGGCGCAAUCACGGCUCAUUGCAACCUCCGCCUCCCGGGUUCAAGUGAGUCUCCUGCCUCAGCCUCCCAAGUAGCUGCGAUUACAGGUGUCCACCACCACGCCUGGCUAAUUUUUGCGUUUUUUUAGUAGAGACGGGGUUUCACCAUGUUGGCCAGGCUGGUCUCAAACUCCUUACCUCAGGUGAACUGCUGGACUCGGCCUCCCAUCACCCAUUUUUCUGACUACACCUCUGUUUCCAUUAUUGGAUCUUCUAUCAUUGGGAAUGGUAGCAUUCUCUAAAGAUCACUUCCUUUUCCCUAUCAAGAAAAAAUAAAGCUAACAUUUCUUGAAUACUGAUCAGGUGCUAGGAACUUUAUAUAUUCAUUCAGCACUCAUUCAGUGAACUCAUGAAUUUGUAUUGAGUACUAACAUUGUGCCAAGCACUAUUCCGGACACUAAGACAAAGUUUCU
rnacentral:lncRNA from 1 species